GUCCCCGUAGUUCAACGGAUAGAACAGUCCCGUCCUAAGGGAUAGAUAUAUGUUCGAUUCAUAUCGGGGACACCA
rnacentral:tRNA from 1 species